ACAGGUAAGGACAACAUGGGAAGAUUUAUAGUUCUCAGUCUGUGUACCUACCUGCCCCACCUGAUGGCCCUCCCAUCUCUCCUCAAGCAAUUGUUCAAUGACACCCAUGCAGCCUCCCAGUUGCCAUGGAAAUGGCAAGAAUGCCUCUAAUAGGAAGUAAGAAUGGAAGAAGAUGAUUGUACAGAUUCCUCAAGCAAUUCCUGAGCAAAUUCUCCAAUUACCCUUCGCAUCCACAGUCAAGGAUUUCUCUGGGUUACAGGAACAGCACUGAGGCUUUCAACAUCCUCACCCUGGCAAGCUGGUUGCCUCCUUUUGCCCAGCAGUGCCACAGCACUACUAUGCACAGCAACUCAGCUCCCUUCUUUCAGCUGGAUUCCUUUUGUGAGACUGUAAUUCUGAAACACCCAGUGAAACUGGAACAGGAACAAGAAAGGGGAUUCUUCUGUGAUUACCCCAAAUCAUUUAUUGUCUGCAGAAAACUUACAUUGGUGCAUCCAUGGGCAGGGCAUGAAGAGAGAGUCCACAGGGGAGCUUGACCCUCUCAUCUUCCCAGAGAUCUAAAGAGCAGGUGUGGUGAGGACCAUCACUGAGGUCAAUCAGAAAUACCUGCUUGCUCCUGCCUUCAUGAGAGAUGACUCUAUUUAGCCACACAGACACAUCCUUUUUCUACCUAGGCCUAUCAACCUAAUAGGAAAUGGAGGCUCUGAAGACUAGUUUUACAAGGGGGUAAAGGAAAGUCUAGGAGGAAAAUGGGGAGGAGAGUGGAGAAGUUGGGCACCAAGACAGCAGAAGUGUUGAAAAUGUUUGGGACUAGAUGGGAGACAGCCAAGGUCGAGGCGCUGGUGGCGGCAGAUGGGAGAAGAGGGUACAGAGCAACUGGGCAUCUGAAGGCCUAUCCAGCCCUGGGGUGCCCACUCCUGUGUUGUCAAGCAGCUCAUUCCCUUCCUCAGACCUCGGAUUUUGCCUCCAUGGAGAUCUCUUCCAUCUCCGACAUUUAAUGUUCUAGAGAUAGAGUGAAAAGACACAGGAAGUUGAAGCAGUGUCAGAAAGUUUCAGAAAUGCCCGCAGAGCAGCAGAGACUUGGGCUCCAGAAAACACAAUGCAAGGACACUUCUUCCCACGAUUUUCUAAGGACCAGAUGUGCCUCUUCUUAUACUGGCCUUUGAUACCGAGCACGCUAAGAUGGGUAUCCUCAUUUUACAAAGAUCAAGGCAGAGAGAAGAGAAGGGACUAGCCUAGGAUCACACAAUUGACAUGUCAUCGCCGAGACCAGCAGUAAAUACACAGAUGGGUAAGACUCAAAAGAACCUACAAAUCCUGUACAAUGAAAUCACGUGGCAAGAAUGUGGUUAUUCUGAGAAACAGAAUAAAGCAGCAUUUUGCUGUGCCUUUUCACACAGCUGCCAA